rnacentral:rRNA from 1 species
AUUGAACGCUGGCGGCAUGCCUUACACAUGCAAGUCGAACGGUAACAGGUCUUCGGAUGCUGACGAGUGGCGAACGGGUGAGUAAUACAUCGGAACGUGCCCGAUCGUGGGGGAUAACGCAGCGAAAGCUGUGCUAAUACCGCAUACGAUCUACGGAUGAAAGCGGGGGAUCGCAAGACCUCGCGCGGACGGAGCGGCCGAUGGCAGAUGAGGUAGUUGGUGGGAUAAAAGCUUACCAAGCCGACGAUCUGUAGCUGGUCUGAGAGGACGACCAGCCACACUGGGACUGAGACACGGCCCAGACUCCUACGGGAGGCAGCAGUGGGGAAUUUUGGACAAUGGGCGCAAGCCUGAUCCAGCCAUGCCGCGUGCAGGAUGAAGGCCUUCGGGUUGUAAACUGCUUUUGUACGGAACGAAAAAGUUCUCUCUAAUACAGGGGGCGAAUGACGGUACCGUAAGAAUAAGCACCGGCUAACUACGUGCCAGCCGCCGCCGUAACAC